UAGGGUUUCCAAGGUUGUAAUCUUUAUCGACGCAAACUGUCACAUCCGGUGGGUUCAAACCACUGACCUUUCCGUUAGCAGCUGAACAUUUAACCACUGCACCAUCAGGGCUCCUUAUGUAUAUACUAGGAUUGAGCAAAUAAAAGGAUAAUUGUGGAUAAUGAGAGCCAUGUUUUUCGCUGUCAGAGAAAGGAGUUUCAAAUGAGCAAAGAAAGAAGUCUAGAAUAAAUCUGUGGUGUUGGACUGGAAUUGGAAAUGUCAGUAUGAAUUUAUAGUUUUUAACAUAUAUAGAUUGAUAUAAAAUAUAUGAAUAUAAAAAUAUGAUAUAGAUGUUUAAGUUACAUUUAUUUCCCAGCUGGCAACUAAGAGGGUCUAGAAACAAUGACAUCCCAUAGCAUGAGCACACCUAACAUCCAGAUGUCGACUUAUAAAUACUGUUCUCCAAUAAAAGGAAUCAGGGCUCCUUGCAUAAACGGUUGAUUUCAGGGUUAGGGUAGGGAAGUUACAAGUUGAUCCUGGAACAUCUUUGGUGCCAGAAAGUAAGGAAGUGCUUAAAAACAAUAACGGCAGGUUGAAAGGACAAAAGAACCAACAUGAAGGAGCUUCCAAUAGCCAAAUCUAGGACAAUCUGAGCAACACAAUAAAAAGAGUAAUAAUGACUAAUAAUCUACAGAAUAAAAUAAAUAUCCAUGGGUUCACAGUGAUAUAAAUAACUGGAUAAAUAAGCAGGGGAGGAGGGAUAGAUUUUCCUUACAGUAGAAUUCCAAUUAGUAAAUGUAGAAGGAAUGAUGGAAAUAGAAAAAUUACCAUUUGGCAAAUACCACAGUAAUAAAUAUUGCAUGCAAAAAUCACUAAUGGGUACUAAAAUCAGUGUGCGAAGGUAUAAUGUAAAACAGGAUAUUUGCACAGUCUCCUAGUAUCUCCCAACCAGACACUUACUAAUUACAAAGGGAAAGAUAGUAACUUUAUAGUAACCUGGCAGAACCCCUGCUUAACCAACUGAUCCAAGUUAACAUCAGUUAACUAAAUUAACAAUAAGAGGUCAACAUCAUGUACCAGCUGAUAAUGAUUAACUGAGAAAGGCACAAUACAUUGUAUUUUUCAAAACCUGCAUAAUCUCAAUCUAAUCAUGGGGAAACAUCACACAAACACACAUUGAGGGACAUGCUAGAAAAUAAUUGGCCAGUAGUCUUCAAAUGUGUCAGGGUCAUGAAAACCAAAGACUGAGGAGCUGUUAUAGAUUGGAGGGGACUAAGGAGACAUGCCAAGUAAACACAAUGUUGGAUCCUGGACCAGAAAAAGGAAAUUAAUUUGACAAUUAGUGAAAUUCAAAUAAGAUCUGCAGAUUUGUUAACAGUACUAUAUCAACAUUAAUUCCUGAUUUUGACAGGCAAAAUGUUAACAUUAGGGGAAGCUGGGUGAAGGGGAUAAGGGAACUCUCUGUACUAGUUUUGCAACUUUUCUGUAAGUCUAAAAUUAUUUCAAAACAAAAAGUUAAAAAAAAAAAAGCGACUCCCAUCAAAAAUAUUAACUUAGUUUGUCUCAAUUCAAAGUCGCCUCCUUCUACAGUGGUUGUUUUGUGGUAGUGUCUAUAAUUGGGAAAAAGUUUUUCCUUUUAAUUUUAAUUGACAAAAACAUCCGGUUUAAAAAUACAUAUUGUAAACUAUUUAAUUUGGGGGUCACUAUAUCAUAGGAAAAAACUCCUACUUUUGCAUACAUCUGAGAACUUGCAUAAUAAACAUUUAAAAUACUUGUAGAAAAAAAUUAAAAAGUUGUAGGCAAACUGCUUAAGUGCUUAUUAAUAUACUAAAGAUAAUUUUCUAUCAUCCUUAUAACUUUCAUAAACACUUAGAAUUAUAUUAUGGAAUUUUUAAGGCUAGUAAUAACUCAGAAAUCAAGAGGUCCAACCCUGCCUCACUGGAUAGGAAGGAAACUAAAACCCAGAGAACCCAACUAGUUGCUGUUGAGUUGAUUCUGACUUACGGCAACCUAUGUGUUGCAGAAUAGAACUGUGCUCUACAAGAUUUUCGUGGCUGUGACCUUUCAGAAACUGAAUGCCAGGUGCCUCUGGGUGGGUUCGAACCCCCAACCUUUUGGCUAGCAGCCAAGCACUUCACCACUGGUGCCACCCAGUGAAUCCCAGAGAGGGGAGGUCUAAUUAGUUAGCAGAGACCAGAGGUGAGCCUAGAACCCCUACCUCCUGACUCUUGUUCUGGAGCUACUUCUCCCACAUUAGAUAUCUGAGCUCUUCUUUAUCCCAAAGCUUAUCAUGAACAAUUACCUAAACAUCUCAACUGCAACAGUAUAGUAACAGUAUUUAUAGAUACUUCCAAAAAAAUUACCAACUAAAUUAGAAUAAAUUUGCUGCAUUCAUGAAAAAUGAAAUAUGGGUCCAGUAAUACAUAUAACAUUAAAAAUAAACUAUUGUAGUUUACUGUUUUAAAUGAUCUCUUUAUUUUAAUUAGGUCUUUUAUCUAAAAGUUCAUGUUCCCAUCCUUGUUUAGUGAUUCGACUUUUUUCUUAAUGGAAGCUUUUCUUGCAACUCUCAUUCUAGAAGGACUUCCGCUGAGUAAUGGCACCUCCCAAACAUUUACCCAUGCAGAAAGCCUCUACUGAAUGCCAGAUGUUGUCAGGCACUGCACAUGAUGCUGGGCACAUAAUGAUAGACAGUGAAUAAGUGGCAGUGGAAAAAACCAUAAUUAAGAUAUCUUGCAUCAGAUUAUCCCACUAACAGGAGAGUUUUCAGAAAGAAGAGAAAAAAGAAUAUAGGAGCUGGCUGCUUUGUCUGAAGCACAAAAAGUCAAAGCAGCAUUCUUUCUAAGCACCACGGAUGUCUGGGCCACACAGGCUUUCAGCUUCCUAUAACUAAAGCACGAAAGAAAGAAAGCACAAAGAAGGAAGUACGCCUAGGGCACGUAACAGAACACAAUACAAACUGAGCUUAAUUUUUAAAAUCUCCAUGUAAGAAUGGACUGGAAAGCCCUCCUUUACUUUCAACCCCAGGCCCCCCUCAAACUUCCAAAUAUAAUAACAGGAGUAGUUCUCUAUUUUUAGAUAAGAUAUACAUUUUUAAAACGAUGAAUAUGUGCAGAAACACAAUAAAUACAGGCUAUUUAACCAUUGCCUUCGAGCAGAUUCCAACUCAUAGCGACCCUACAGGACAGGGUAGAACUGCCCCAUAGGAUUUCCAAGGCUGUAAUCUUUACGGAAGCAGAUUGCCACAUCUUUCUCCCCAAGGAGCAGCUGGUGGGUUAAAACCCCGACCUUUCGGUUAGCAGCUGAGCACUUAACCAAUGCACCACCAGGGCUCCUUAAUAUAAACUAUGUAUCCAUACAAAACUGCAUAUUUUAUUUAUUCACCUACUUUCCCGAAGGUAAUUUCCUUCCUCCACACUGGGGUGAGGAAUGGGGAGAUGAAGAAAAAUACUCCUAUACACACUCAUACACUUAUUUUUCUCCUUUAAAAAAGAAAUCAGUGGCAAAAACAGACAGAAUUAUAUUAACAGACGAGUUAGCCAGUCUUAACUCUUUCUUUUUUUCCUCCUUAAUCCUCCUACUACCUUCCCCUUAACCGAGUACGCCUUUCACAUUUCCAGCGCACUCCCGAAAUUCUGAGUCAAGCCUCCGACAGUGAUUGCUGACUGCCGAGUUAGUUCUCCAUGGACCAAAGGCUCUUAGAUGUCUCGACAUGAAGACAGGAGAGGAAAGGAAAAUCCUAAAUGGAACAGUAGCCUUUUAGCUACAAAGUAUUUCCUCCUUUAUCGUAUCUCUUAGAUACACACAAUGUUUGGGUAAACUCGUUUUUCUUCUCAGUACAAGUAAUUAUUGAAGAAAGCAAAGUCAAUACACCAAAUUAAAAUAAGCUUCGUCUCUCACUGCUUACUUGGUUGAGUUGUUGUUGUUGUUAGUUGCCAUUGAGUCGAUUCUGACUCAUGGCGACCCCAUGUGUUGGGUGAGUUACUAUUCUCAAAUAAGUAGGAGGCAAACAGUUAUAUAAAGAUUAAAAAAAA